rnacentral:rRNA from 1 species
AUUGAACGCUGGCGGCAGGCCUAACACAUGCAAGUCGAACGAGAGGCGGACGGGUGAGUAAUGUAUGGGGAAUCCCCGAUAGAGGGGGAUAACAACUGGAAAAAGUGGAUAAUACCGCAUAUUGUCGGAUAACCCAUAUGGGAUUAGCUAGUAGGUAAGGGAAUGGCUUACCUAGGCGACGAUCCCUAGAUGGUCUGAGAGGAUGAGCAGCCACACUGGGACUGAGACACGGCCCAGACUCCUACGGAGGCAGCAGUGGGGAAUAUUGCCCAAUGGGGGCAAGCCUGAUGCAGCCAUGCCGCGUGUAUGAAGAAGGCCCUAGGGUUGUAAAGUACUUUCAGUCGGGAGGCGUUACCGACAGAAGAAGCACCGGCUAACUCCGUGCCAGCCGCCGCGGUAAUAC